UACGUAGGUGGCAAGCGUUGUCCGGAUUUACUGGGCGUAAAGAGCGCGCAGGCGGUCGUUCAAGUCGCGUGUGAAAGCCCCCGGCUCAACUGGGGAGGGUCACGCGAUACUGAUCGACUCGAAGGCAGGAGAGGGUAGUGGAAUUCCCGGUGUAGUGGUGAAAUGCGUAGAUAUCGGGAGGAACACCAGUGGCGAAGGCGACUACCUGGACAAUUGCUGACACUCAGGCACGAAAGCGUGGGGAGCAAAAGGG
rnacentral:rRNA from 1 species